rnacentral:rRNA from 1 species
GAUCAUGGCUCAGGAUGAACGCUGGCGGCGUGCUUAACACAUGCAAGUCGAACGGACUUUACAUGAAGCCUAGCGAUUGUAAAGUUAGUGGCGGACGGGUUGAGUAACGCGUGAAUAACCUGCCCUGUACCGGGGGACAACAGUUGGAAACGACUGCUAAUACCGCAUAAGCGCACGGUUCCGCAUGGAACAGUGUGAAAAACUCCGGUGGUACAGGAUGGAUUCGCGUCUGAUUAGCCAGUUGGG